rnacentral:hammerhead_ribozyme from 1 species
ACCCAGCUGACGAGUCCCGAAUAGGACGAAACGCGCAUCCUGGAA